UACGGAGGAUUCGAGCGUUAUCCGGAUUUAUUGGGUUUAAAGGGUGCGUAGGCGGCCUAUUAAGUCAGGGGUGAAAUACGGUGGCUCAACCAUCGCAGUGCCUUUGAUACUGAUGGGCUUGAAUCCAUUUGAAGUGGGCGGAAUAAGACAAGUAGCGGUGAAAUGCAUAGAUAUGUCUUAGAACUCCGAUUGCGAAGGCAGCUCACUAAGCUGGUAUUGACGCUGAUGCACGAAAGCGUGGGGAUCGAACAGG
rnacentral:rRNA from 1 species